rnacentral:ncRNA from 1 species
GAUAAUGCAAUGAUUGAGAAAAGUAGGUUUUUUGUGCUUGGCAGAGAGUCGGUGGAGGGUGCGAACCGGUAAGCAGAUUAACUGAAAUACACUCAUGAGCAGCAGGUUGAAAAGAAAUGAGUAGACUGUGCCGGUGUGCCGCCGUUAGCAAGGCUAGGGUAUCGGAACUGGAGUUCCUGUACCUAAAAGAGCGGCUUGCUAUAAGCAAGCAGGGUGGUACCACGGAUUAUUAAUCCCGUCCCUGUA